rnacentral:rRNA from 1 species
GUGGGGAAUCUUGCACAAUGGGGGCAACCCUGAUGCAGCGACGCCGCGUGAGCGAUGAAGCCCUUCGGGGCGUAAAGCUCUUUCGACCGGAACGAUAAUGACGGUACCGGGAGAAGAAGCUGCGGCUAACUACGUGCCAGCAGCCGCGGUAAUACGUAGGCAGCAAGCGUUGUUCGGAGUUACUGGGCGUAAAGAGUGCGUAGGCGGUUUUCUAAGUUCGGUGUGAAAUCUCCCGGCUUAACUGGGAGGGUGCGCCGAAGACUGGGAAGCUGGAGUGUGGGAAAGGCAGGCGGAAUUCCUGGUGUAGCGGUGAAAUGCGUAGAUAUCAGGAGGAACACCGGCGGUGUAGACGGCUUGCUAAACCAUAACUGACGCUGAGGCACGAAAGCGUGGGUAGCAAACA